GGUAAUGUGGUGUAGUGGUUUGAGCACUGGACUAUGACUCCAGAGACUAGAAUUCAAAUCCCUGCUCUGCCA